rnacentral:lncRNA from 1 species
UGAAGUCUCCUUUGCCCGUGGUUUUUUAUCCUCUUUUUCGGAUGAUUUUUUUCACGUAAAUAUUUGUAUGUUUGAUCUUCUCACUUUUAAUUUUAUUUUCUUGUUGCAUAUACGGUUCAAUCCCUAAAAAAAAUAUAUUUAAAAUUUAAUGUCUCACAAGUUUAAAUUUCAUCAUAAUUGAGUUUUUAGUGAUUUUACAUAAAAAUAUAAAAAGAUAAAAAAUAUCUUCAUA